rnacentral:rRNA from 1 species
AUUGAACGCUGGCGGCAGGCUUAACACAUGCAAGUCAAGCGGAGAGAGGUAGCUUGCUACUGAUCUUAGCGGCGGACGGGUGAGUAAUGCUUAGGAAUCUGCCUAUUAGUGGGGGACAACGUUUCGAAAGGAGCGCUAAUACCGCAUACGUCCUACGGGAGAAAGCAGGGGAUCUUCGGACCUUGCGCUAAUAGAUGAGCCUAAGUCGGAUUAGCUAGUUGGUGGGGUAAAGGCCUACCAAGGCGACGAUCUGUAGCGGGUCUGAGAGGAGGAGCCGCCACACUGGGACUGGGACACGGCCCAGACUCCUACGGGAGGCAGCGGUGGGGAAUAUUGGACAAUGGGCGGAAGCCUGAUCCAGCCAUGCCGCGUGUGUGAAGAAGGCCUUUUGGUUGUAAAGCACUUUAAGCGAGGAGGAGGAGCUCUAGGUUAAUACCCUAGAAGCUUGGACGUUACUCGCAGAAUAAGCACCGGCUAACUCUGUGCCAGCAGCCGCAGUAA